rnacentral:rRNA from 1 species
AUUGAACGCUGGCGGCAGGCCUAACACAUGCAAGUCGAACGAGUGGCGGACGGGUGAGUAAUGUCUGGGAAACUGCCCGAUGGAGGGGGAUAACUACUGGAAACGGUAGCUAAUACCGCAUACCAUCGGAUGUGCCCAGAUUGGAUUAGCUAGUAGGUGGGGUAACGGCUCACCUAGUCGACGAUCCCCAGCUGGUAUGCGAGGAUGACCGGCCACACGGGAACUGAGACACGGUCAAGACUCCUACGGGAGGCAGCAGUGGGGAAUAUUGCACAAUGGGCGUAAGCAUGAUGCAGCCAUGCCGCGUGGAUGAUGAAGGCCUUCGGGUUGUAAAGUACUUUCAGCGAGGAGGCGUUACUCGCAGAAGAAGCACCGGCUAACUCCGUGCCAGCAGCCGCGGUAAUAC